GAAGACGGGGUGGGGGUGGGGAGGACUUCCCUGCCGUCUUUCGCCCUGAUGCUCAAUGUCAUUACGAUGUGGGGCUAGAACAAAAUGGAAAGACUUCGUCACAGGCGCCCGUGGCCGUGUCCCCGACUCCCGCCGCGCGCCGGCGCGGGCGCCCCUGGGGUCUAGCUCGAGCGGUGUCGCGGGGAGCGUUGGCAGCUCGCUUCCCGGGUGUCGGGGGCCGCUGGGUCCUGACAAUAGACAGCGAGGCUCGGGAAAGCGCCGCCUGAAGCCCAGGAGCUAUGCCUGUCCCAGACCAGCCGUCAUCGGCUUCUGAUAAGACCAGCUCCUUAAGCCCUGGCUUGAACACCUCCAAUGGGGAUGGCUCGGAAACAGAAACCACUUCUGCCAUCCUUGCCUCCGUAAAGGAACAGGUAGGAGCAUUCUGUUUUUCUAAUAUCUGCAUUAGGAUAUUUGUUAAAUUGUUUCUUCCCAGAUGAAAAAUGAUGAUUCAUGGAAGAAAAUUGUUAUUUUCUAACAGAUUGUUGGAAUUCAUUGUUAUAAAAAUUAAGAUGUGAUUACAAUUGCUUUUGACUACAUGUUUUUAUUUAUGGUUUAGGUAGCUUUCCUUGGAAAAUUAUUCCAUAGAGGAAAAAUAAAAAAACCUUCCAAGAUUUCUUACAGAUGAAGUUUUGGCAGAUUGCUCGUGGGACCUGGAAUUUAAUACUUUUAAAUUAAUAAUUUAAUAAAUUUAAUAAAUAAUUUAAUAAAUUUAAAUUAAUGAAGCCCAAUAAUUGGUCUUUUGAAAAUACAAAGUCUAAUAAACUGCCCAAAUGGUCUAAGAGGCUGAAAAGUCAGU
rnacentral:lncRNA from 1 species